rnacentral:lncRNA from 10 species
AGGAUGAAGGUCACAUCCAUAUUAAUUGCCCUGAUAAUGAAACCUUCCUGGAGGCCACCUGUCAGAACAUCUGGAGCUCUUGUUGUUACUGCUUCCAACAAGGCCCAUUUCCAUCCCUACGCUGACUUCAAAGACCCAUCUUCAAGGUUGAUGUCUCCAUUUAGUCUCCCCAAUUCCUGACUACAAGUGUUAUCUUCUUCAUUUAGAAUGGUGAUUUUAUUUAUCAAGGGCCAGAGAGUUGUAUUCUGCAAACUCUUCAUAUCAGAGAGUCAUGAGAAUUUGUAAAAUGUAUGAGAAUGCUAUAUAUUAUUCCAAGAAAGAACUUACACAUACCGUAAGUAUGAGGGCAGAUGAAAAGGUAUCUGAGAUAAGCCUUUAUUUUAUUCCUUAAAGGUGUGGAAAAACUCAGGCACAAUAUUUAAGAUACUACAAUUAACCUUCAAUUUUGAUAUAGAGUCUAGUGCCUUUAUUGGCUGAGAAUGGUGCUGAUUUAACUAAGUAAUCUAUUAACUCCUAGAGAACUGAAAGAAGUGAAGAACUAUGAGCAUAGAAGGUAAGAAAAUAGAUUAGGAAAGAAGGUAAAGGAGAGAAUGAAGAGAGUAAAAAAGAAGAAAACAAACAAAUUAAAAGUACCUACUUUAAAGAGUACUUUAGCAAUUCAAUCAAGUUUUUGAUACAUUCUUACAAUAACCGUAGGAAGUCAGAAUUAUUAUGAUGUUUUACUACAGUUGAAAAAUUAGAUUUAGAGAGGCUAAAUGUUUUACUUUUCUCCUAGUGACAUAAAUUAUGAACUGUAGAAAAGAGCCCAACUCUUAGAUUUUUCUCCCCAAACACACGGGCUGGUCCACUUUACCCAAUGGUAGAUCACAAAAUCCCAUGAUGGGUAACAGUGAAGAACCAGUGACUGCCUCAGGUUUCCAUUUGGGGUCCUCAUGAAGCAGAAUGUCUCUUCAUCUUUUGGGAGAUCAACAACUCAUGUUGUGGGGAAAAGAAAGAGAGAUCAGAUUGUUACUA